rnacentral:lncRNA from 1 species
ACCUGUGAUUUAUAUCCUGCCCACUUCAUUUAAAAAAAAAAAAAAAAAUGGAAGUUUCCAGGCCAGGGAUCAAACCCAUGCCAGAGCAGCAACUCAAGCUACUUCAGUGACAAAAAUGGUUCCUUAGGAGUUCCCUUUGUGGCUCAGUGGUUGAUGAAUCCGACUAGGAACGAUGAGGUUGUGGGUUCAACCCUGGCCUUGCUCAGUGGGUUAAGGAUCGGGCGUUGCUGUGAACUGUGGUGUAGGUCACAGACUCGGAUGGGAUCCCACAGCAACUCAGGAUCCGAGCCGCGUCUGCAACCUACACCACAGCUCACGGCAACGCCGGAUCGUUAACCUACUGGGCAAGGGCAGGGACUGAACCCGAAACCUCAUGGUUCCUAGGUGGAUUCAUUAACCACUGCGCCACGACAGGAACUCCAAAGAUGGUCUGUCUUUUUUAAUCAACAGUUUUACUGGAUGUGUCUAGGUGUGGAUCUUUUUGUGUUUAUCCUACUUUGGAUUCAGUACACUUAAAUGUAUAGAUUGAUAUUUUUUAACCAUUUGUUAAGUUUUGACUGAUUUCUUCACAUUAUCUUUUAUGUCCUUUUCUCUCCUUUUCUUCUGGGACUGUCAUUACAUGUAUAUUGGCAUGCUUGAUGCUGUAUAAAAGUCUGAGGCUCUGUUUAUCUAAAUUUUUAAAAAAAAUUUCUUCAUAACUGGUAAUUUCUAUUGAUACUUUUCAAGUGCAUUGUCUCUUCUGUCAUCUCUAGUCUGCUUUUGAACUCUGUUAAUGAAUUUAAAAUUUUGGCUCUUAAUGUUUUUCAACUCUAGAAUUGUUUUACUUUUCGACUCCAAGAUUUCCAUUUUAUUCUUUUAAAAAGUAAUAUUAGUAUCUUUAUUCAGAUUGCCUAUUUGAGGAGUUAUAGUUGUGAUUCUUUAAAAAUAGUUUCUUCAAGAUAAACUUAAAUUUUAGCUAGAGGAUGAUAUUUAAACUAUCUUAAAAAUGGAAUUUAUUUCUAAAUUAUAGUUAAUAUUUUCCUCUGUAUUUUGAUAUUCAGGAAAGUGUAUUACUCAUAAAUGCUGUAUUUCAUCUGAUAGUUUCUUUUUAAACAUAGUUAGCAAUUUACUUUUGAUUACUAGUUGGGAUCAGCGUACAAUUUGAAAGAUGUGCCAUUAAUUCUGAAACUGGUUCAUUCUCUGAACUGAUUAUGCAGUGUUAAGUCUACUUGUUUGUCCGUAUUACUUGCUGCUUCUCUCACAGUAGGUGCUGAUGGGUAGGAAAAAAAAAAAGACACUUAUGAGCAAUAUAAUGUGUUAGAAUGGUUACAAAAUAUCAAAAUCUUCAUAUGAGCCUACACAUUUAGUAGUAUAGUAUUUAUUCAUUUUAGGACCUUGAGAGAUUGCAGUAAAUAAGACAAAUGUAAUACUUGUUCUCAUGGAACCUUACAUUCUGUUAAAGGAGAAGUAUAUUAAACAUAUAAACAAGAUAAUUUUAGAGAAUGCUAAAUAUAAUGAACAAAUAAAAUAGGGUAAUAUGAUUUCAAAUAGAGAAUGAUGGGGGAGCUACCCGGAAAUGUGAUAUAAUUUGGGUGAGGGGAGCCAUGAAGGAAAUGUCUCUCUGAAGGGGUGGUGUUUUAGGUUAGAUCUACGUAAUGGUUUGAGGAGGAUUCAGUCUGUUGAUGAUUUGGAAAAGCUGUGUAGCCUAAAGAACAGGAGGUGAAAAAUAAGCUUGGUGUAUUGUAGGAAUAGGGCCAGUGUGGCUGGAACUCAGCAAGACAGUGAGAAAGAGAAAUAAGGGAUGAAUGAGAUCAAAGAGGAGGGGUGGGCUAGCCCUGGCUUGAUCUUAACCUUCUAAGCCGCAAUAGGAACUCCCUGGAUUUUUUUUUUCAAGUGUGAUGACCAAACACUGGAAAAGUAUUUUGGUGACCUUCAUUCUUGACUUAAGAGUUUAUAGCCUGUGGAGUUCCGUGAUGACCUAUUGGGUUAAGUAUCUGGCAUUUUCACUGCUGUGGCUCAGAUCAGUGCUGUGGCACAGAUUUGAUCCUUGGCCUGGAAACUUCUGCAUAACGUGGAUGUGGCAAAAAAAAGUUAGUUUACAUCCCAGUAUAUAAUUUUAUUUUUAAACAGUUUUUAGUGUGAGUAAAUAUAUGUAGGAUUUUCUAGAAAGAGACGAGUUCCCAUUAUAGCUCAUCAGGUUAAGAACUCAACUAGUAUCCAUGAGGACACGGCUUCAAUCCCUGGCCUUGCUCAGUGGGCUCUGAGCUGUGGUGUAGGUCACAGAUGCGGCUUGGAUCUGGUGUGGCUGUCGCUGUGGUGUAGGCCAGUAGCUGUAGCUCCCUUCAGGCCCUAAGCCUGCAAACUUCCAUAUGCCACAGUUGCAGCCCUAAAAAGCACAUGCACAGAAAAAAAAGAAUAGAAGAGAAAAUAACUUUUUCCUGAUGUUUCUUUUUUGAAAUUUAUCUAAAAAUACUUGCUUAGUGAUUAGAGUCCCAGGAACAAUGGAGAAGAUGAUAUUUAGUUUUUCAAAUAAAAUAAGCAUGCAUUUGUUCAUCUAUUCAUUGUACAUUCUAUAACCCUCAUAAGUGCUUGUGUUCCAGGGCCUACAGAGGAAGCUGUAAACCUUGGUUUAAUUAGAUAAAGGGAGAUAGUCUUGUGAAUAGUUUAGGUGUCAAAGUGGGAGACUGGAUGCACUUUUCCCCCCAAUUGUUGCUGCAGGGUUCAUUUUAUUUAGCACUAUGAAAAAGUUUAGGGAGUUCCUGUCGUGGCGCAGUGGGUAAUGAAUCCGACUAGGAACCAUGAGGUUGCGGGUUUGAUCCCUGGCCUUGCUCAGUGGGUUAAGGAUCUGGCGUUGCCGUGAGCUGUAGUGUAGGUUACAGACUCUGGCUUGGAUCCUGUGUUGCUGUGGCUAUGUCAUAGGCUGGCGGCUACAGCUCCGAUUGGACCCCUAGCCGGGGAACCUCCACAUGCCGCGGGAGCAGCCCUAGAAAAGACCAAAAAAAAAAAAAAAAGAAAAGAAAAA